rnacentral:rRNA from 1 species
GACGAACGCUGGCGGCGUGCCUAAUACAUGCAAGUAGAACGCACAGUUUAUACCGUAGCUUGCUACACCAUAGACUGUGAGUUGCGAACGGGUGAGUAACGCGUAGGUAACCUGCCUGGUAGCGGGGGAUAACUAUUGGAAACGAUAGCUAAUACCGCAUAAUAUUGAUUAUUGCAUGAUAAUUAAUUGAAAGGUGCAAUUGCACCACUACCAGAUGGACCUGCGUUGUAUUAGCUAGUAGGUGAGGUAACGACUCACCUAGGCGACGAUACAUAGCCGACCUGAGAGGGUGAUCGGCCACACUGGGACUGAGACACGGCCCAGACUCCUACGGGAGGCAGCAGUAGGGAAUCUUCGGCAAUGGACGAAAGUCUGACCGAGCAACGCCGCGUGAGUGAAGAAGGUUUUCGGAUCGUAAAGCUCUGUUGUAAGAGAAGAACGGGUGUGAGAGUGGAAAGUUCACACUGUGACGGUAUCUUACCAGAAAGGGACGGCUAACUACGUG